rnacentral:rRNA from 1 species
UACGUAGGGGGGCACGUGUUCGGAUUCGAUUGGUGCGUAAAGAGCGUGUAGGCGGCCUUAGAGGUCCGUUGUGAAAACUCGAGGCUCAACCUCGAGACGCGGUCGGAAACCUGUGAACUAGAGUCCGGAAGAGGAGAGUGGAAUUCCUGGUGUAGCGGUGAAAUGCGCAGAUAUCAGGAGGAACACCUGUGCGAAGGCAG